AACGAACGCUGGCGGCAGGCUUAACACAUGCAAGUCGAGCGCCCCGCAAGGGGAGCGGCAGACGGGUGAGUAACGCGUGGGAAUCUACCCAUCUCUACGGAAUAACGCAUGGAAACGGGUGCUAAUACCGUAUACGUCCUUCGGGAGAAGGAUUUAUCGGGGAUGGAUGAGCCCGGGUUGGAUUAGCUAGUUGGUGGGGUAAAGGCCUACCAAGGCGACGUUCCAUAGAUGGUCUGAGAGGAUGAUCAGCCACACUGGGACGGAGACACGGCCCCGACUCCUACGGGAGGAAGCAGAGGGGAAUGUUGGACCAUGGGCGGAAGGCUGAUCCAGCCAUGCCGCGUGAGUGAUGAAGGCCCUAGGGUUGUAAAGCUCUUGCACCGGUGAAUAUAAUGACGGUAACCGGAGAAGAAGCCGCGGCUAACUUCGUGCCAGCCGCCGCGGUAACAC
rnacentral:rRNA from 1 species